AUAAGAUACAUUUUAAGAAAUCUUCCAAGCUUUUUCCCUUACUUUGUUCAAUUGAGACUACUGUGAGGGUGGUUUAAAGCCAACACUGUGUCAUAAUGGGGAUGGUGUCUAAGUGCACAAAUUCCAUCAUCCUCUUUGAAUCUCUACUUUUUUUUCUUUUUCCUUCCAAUGUGCUAUUCUGGCUUAAGUUUUCACAGGGCUAUGGUGCUUCCCCAGGUGUACAGUGAGCACAAAGCUUAACGGCAUCAAUUAGAAGUUGACAGGUAUGGAAAACUAGUACCAAGAGAGUUAAUUUUAGGAUUAAAAUUACAUAGAAGGGCUGGGUAUUGGGGCAUCAGGGCAUAUGGAAGAAUGCCUCUGCUUAAAGCAAACAACCCAGCACUGAUGGUAUCUCUCUGGAGUAUUUUUAGUGUUCCUCUCACAAUAAUAUCUCAGCAUCUAUAAACACUUAGUUGUUUUGUCACCUCCCAGCCAGUGGUUUCAAAUCACCUUGCAGAUAUCCACAAUUUAGUAUCUUCCUAAGAAUAGGAGAAUCCAUGAUGGAAGCCCAGAAGUAAAGCAGAUAGCAGAGGGAGUUCCCUAGUUGGGCAUAUGAUUCCUCAGGCAAGUUUUCAAUAUGAGUAUCCCAGAUAAAAUGCAUUUUUAUCUUAAGUACACUCCUAAUAAAGGAGUCCUUUGUUAGUCCUGUUUUAAAAAUGUUUUGAUUAUACAAAUAACUCACCAAUGUAUGUUCUAGAAAAUAGUUAUGUCAACAGUGUGUUGAAUCACUACUUUAAAUGAAGCAAAAGAAAAUCAUUUUUAGAUAGACCCAAAUUUUGCUCUCAGAUGCACUGAAAUAAAUCUAGUAUCCCUCUCUGGAAGUCAGUAAAGUGACUUCCAAUUUUCAGUGGCAUAAUCAAGGGUAAAAUUUGUGCCUCUCAUUUUACAGACCUCCUAUAUUCAUAUUUUUCCAAUGCUUUCCCUCCCUCCUCUCCCCUUUAAGAUGCAUCCACUUCUUUCUUCUUGCCACUGGGCAGGCCUAUUCCUUUGUUUUUGGUUUCUGUUUGUAUAUCGACUGUUAUAGGAUACGGAUGUAACACUUUCACACCUGGCUGUGUCUUUUCUUUUGAGGAACUAUCUGUGGGACUGUAGUAUUCUUUAAAAAAUGGGUCUGAAUUUUUCUCAUCUCCCAAUAUGUUAGGUACUUGCAUCGCUGGCUCUAAAUUUUGCACCUAAGAUCCAUGAUAAUACAUGUUUUGAAUGUUCUCUUGGUGGCAAAAAAGUUAAAUUGUAUAAUGUGUGCAAACAGUCUGUAGGGGAGUGCAGAAGAGAGACUAUUGCAGGGUCCUAAAUGUUCAGCCCUGCACCUCUCUCUGGUUUGCUGGAAUGAGUUUCAAAAGAUGUGGCUACUCACCUGCCUUUGGUACCCUUUCAAAGGAGAGCAGCUGGUUUGUUCUAAUUGCUAGUGUUAAUGAGUCCACAGCAAUUCAAACAGCUCCAGUUUUAACACUCCUUCAUCCACAUUUAUGCAUUUGUAUUGUUCUUUGCUGUUCACACAACAGUUGGAAUGAACAGACUGUUGUCCCUUUGAAAAGUUUCCAAAUGUACCUAUGUCCACACCCAGCAUAUAUCCACACCCAAAACCUGGUAUUGGUUUUGCUUGUUCGCUGUGCUUUACAAAUGGUAUUGGGUGAGGGGAGGAUAUCAGACACUUGAUUUAAGCCUUGGCUCCUAAGACAAAGGGAAUCCCUGUGUGAUUAUCUGAGUGCUGAACAAGAACUUCUUCUAUAUGCCCUUAUGCUGCAACAGAAUAAUAAAACUGGUAGGUGGCAGUAGCAGAAGAAGGAACUAAUGUGGCUGUCACCUGAGAAACCUGCAGUGGGGAGAAAUGGAAGACAAAAUAACGGAAGCAAGGGGAAGAGUGGAGAGAGACGGAGGUCCCAGAAUUCUCCCUUUGAACGGAUUUCCUCCUGUCUGUUGCAAGACCAUCCCUUCACCACCACCCUUGGCCAUCAGUUGGAACAGGAGAGCUGAGUGAGCACUGCAGUGGACCUGGGGCAGGAGCUGUUGUGGAAACCUGCAUAAUUCCUUCUGAUUGUGAUAGAGGGUCUUUUGGCCAUGUUUUAUCCUGGAAGAUAAUGGUGGUGAAAGGUGCUGGAUCAGCAGUCACAGAGAUUGAAGCCCUCUGUCCACAAGACAGGUAACCCAUAGAUGCCAAUAAACUUCUUCAGAGCAUACAGCUUCCACUGAACCUGGAGGGACCUUCCCUGAGGUCGAGAGAGGAGCUUGGUCUCCAUGGUCCAAUUGGUCCUUGGUGUGUCUGCUGAGACUGCCACCAAGGGGGCCAGUUAGUUGCCAGUUGUGGUCGUGCCUUUUGUGAUGUAUGUUUGAAACUUCCACUUUCUCUGUCAUCGUGAAGGAGACUGACAUGUUCUCUGGCUUAUUUCUCUAGGUUUCGUGAAGCAGCAAGAGAUCUUCCUGCCAGAAACCUUUCCCUGCACCCUGAAAGAUAAAGGGAAGAAUGAGCAGGCCUGAAUAGGUGUGGGUUAGGAUGAAGACCAGAAGUUGGAAUAACAGCAGCCACAGUGGCCUUUGUAACAUGGAAAAGCUAAAUAAAUGCAUUGUGAACUGAUUCACCAGUGUGGGGUCUUUUCAGUAGCUCUUUUUUUCAAAUACAGUGUCUUUUUCCACCCUUCUUUGACUAUAUUUUCUUUGUGUCAGUCAUCUUCAGAAAUCUGGUGACCCCACAACUCUGGCUCUGUGAAGUCAGAACCUUACAACUGAUUCCAUCUUCUCUCUUGUAACUAACUUUUCCUGAUUGAUUUCAUUCCGAAGGAAGCCAAAAUACUUUGCAAAUUGUGUGUGGGGUAGAGUUGCUAUGAUUUUGUUUGAGCAGUUGUGAAAGAAAACUUAAACUACACUAAGUAAUACAUAGUAAUAACCAACCUACACUGUGUGUGUGCGCGCGCAUGCGCGCGCGCGCGUGUGUGUGUGUGUGCGCGCGUGCAUGCAUGCGCACGUACGCAUGUAUCACUGUCUUUUACUUGAUGGAAUCCAAAACUGCUCAACUUUGUGUCAGAGGUUGUAUACUGCCCACGUUCAGAAGAGAUUCUUUAACUGAUCAGAGACUGUUUCUAGUGGGAUCUGACUUUUAUGCCAACUGUUACUAUGAAGUUCUUGUGGAUCCAUAAUGAAACAGCUACUUUAUAACAGUGGUGUUUAAGGCUGCCAUAUUGUUGUUAAAAUAUGCUUCACGAGGUGAUUAGUCGCAAUUUAAA